CUACGGGGGGCAGCAGUGGGGAAUAUUGGGCAAUGGGCGCAAGCCUGACCCAGCAACGCCGCGUGAGGGAAGAAGGUUUUCGGAUUGUAAACCUCUGUCCUUGGGGACGAAGAAGUGACGGUACCCAAGGAGGAAGCUCCGGCUAACUACGUGCCAGCAGCCGCGGUAAUACGUAGGGAGCAAGCGUUGUCCGGAAUUACUGGGCGUAAAGGGUGCGUAGGCGGCAUAUUAAGUCAGGUGUGAAAUACUCGGGCUCAACCCGGGGGCUGCAUUUGAAACUGAUAUGCUUGAGUGUGAGAGAGGAAAGUGGAAUUCCUAGUGUAGCGGUGGAAUGCGUAGAUAUUAGGAGGAACACCAGUGGCGAAGGCGACUUUCUGGCUCAUAACUGACGCUGAGGCACGAAAGCGUGGGGAGCAAACAGGAUUAGAUACCCCCGUAGUC
rnacentral:rRNA from 1 species